rnacentral:rRNA from 1 species
GAUGAACGCUGGCGGCGUGCUUAAUACAUGCAAGUCGAACGGAAAGGCCCUGCUCUUGCGCCGCGCUCGUUUGGCGAACAGGUGAGUAUCACGUGUGUAUCCUGCCCCUGACUUUGGGAUAACUCCAGGAAAAUGGGGCUAUAAUCGGAUAUGAUCUCCUGCAGCACGGUGUUGGUUGGAAAGUUUCGGCUGUUGUGGAUGGACUCGCUGCUUAUCAGCUUGUUUGUCGGGUAGUGGCUGACCAAGGCUUCGACGGGUAGCCGGCCUGAGAGGGUGACCGGCCACAUUGGGACUGAGAUACGGCGCAGACUGCAACGGGAGGCAACAGUGGGGAAUAUUGCGCAAUGGGCGGAAGCGUGAUGCGAAAGCGCCGCGUGCGGGAUGACGUCCUACGAGUGGUGAACAGCUUUCGACUGAGACGAAGCGUGAUUGACGGUACUGGGUAAAGAAGCAACGGCUAACUACGUG